CCUACGGGAGGCAGCAGUGAGGAAUAUUGGUCAAUGGACGAGAGUCUGAACCAGCCAAGUAGCGUGAAGGAUGACUGCCCUAUGGGUUGUAAACUUCUUUUAUAUGGGAAUAAAAUGUUCCACGUGUGGGAUUUUGUAUGUACCAUAUGAAUAAGGAUCGGCUAACUCCGUGCCAGCAGCCGCGGUAAUACGGGGGAUCCGAGCGUUAUCCGGAUUUAUUGGGUUUAAAGGGAGCGUAGGUGGAUUGUUAAGUCAGUUGUGAAAGGUUGCGGCUCAACCGUAAAAUUGCAGUUGAAACUGGCAGUCUUGAGUACAGUAGAGGUGAGCGGAAUUCGUGGUGUAGCGGUGAAAUGCUUAGAUAUCACGAAGAACUCCGAUUGCGAAGGCAGCUCACUGGACUGCAACUGACACUGAGGCUCGAAAGUGUGGGUAUCAAACAGGAUUAGAUACCCGAGUAGUC
rnacentral:rRNA from 1 species